GAAACCGGGGCUAAUACCGGAUGAGGUCUUUCGAGCGAAAGUUUGAGAGACGAAAGGUGGCCUCUGAUAUAAGCUGCCGCUUGAGGACGGGCCCGCGUCCCAUUAGUUAGUUGGUGGGGUAAGAGCCUACCAAGGCAGCGAUGGGUAGCCGGCCUGAGAGGGUGGUCGGCCACACUGGGAUUGAGAUACGGCCCAGACUCCCACGGGAGGCAGCAGUCGAGAGGCAUUCGCAAUGGGGGAAACCCUGACGAUGCGACGCCGCGUGCGGGAUGACGGCCUUCGGGUUGUAAACCGCUGUCACACAGGCCGAAUGGCGGGUAACAAAUAGGGUCCCGUUUUGACGUAUCUGUGAGAGGAAGCUCCGGCUAAUUCCGUGCCAGCAGCCGCGGUAAUACGGAGGGAGCGAGCGUUGUUCGGAAUCACUGGGCGUAAAGGGCGUGUAGGCGGUUAUAUCAGUCGAGUGUGAAAGCUCCCGGCUCAACUGGGAGAGUGCAUUUGAAACAGUAUAACUUGAGGGUGGGAGAGGAGAGCGG
rnacentral:rRNA from 1 species